GACGAACGCUGGCGGCGUGCUUAACACAUGCAAGUCGAGCGGAGCGGCGAACGGGUGAGUAACGCGUGAGUAAUUGCCCCCCUCUCUGGGAUAACAGCUGGAAACGGCUGCAAAUACAGGAUAGUGGGGGAUGACCCGCGGACUAUCGGCUUGUGGGUGGGGUAGUGGCCUACCAAGGCGAGGACGGGUAGCCGGCCUGAGAGGGCGACCGGCCACAUUGGGCGGAGAUACGGCCCAAACUCCAACGGGAGGCAGCAGUGGGGAAUAUUGCACAAUGGGGCACACCCUGAUGCAGCAACGCCGCGUGCGGGAUGACGGCCUUCGGGUUGUAAACCGCUUUCAGCCAUGACGCGGUAGUGGCAGAAGAAGCACCGGCUAACUACGUGCCAGCAGCCGCGGUAAUAC
rnacentral:rRNA from 1 species